AGUGAACGCUGGCGGUAGGCCUAACACAUGCAAGUCGAACGGCAGCACAGUAAGAGCUUGCGCUUACGGGUGGCGAGUGGCGGACGGGUGAGGAAUACAUCGGAGUCUACUUUUUCGUGGGGGAUAACGUAGGGAAACUUACGCUAAUACCGCAUACGACCUACGGGUGAAAGCAGGGGAUCUUCGGACCUUGCGCGAUUGAAUGAGCCGAUGUCGGAUUAGCUAGUUGGCGGGGUAAAGGCCCACCAAGGCGACGAUCCGUAGCUGGUCUGAGAGGAUGAUCAGCCACACUGGAACUGAGACACGGUCCAGACUCCUACGGGAGGCAGCAGUGGGGAAUAUUGGACAAUGGGCGCAAGCCUGAUCCAGCCAUACCGCGUGGGUGAAGAAGGCCUUCGGGUUGUAAAGCCCUUUUGUUGGGAAAGAAAAGCAGCAGGUUAAUACCUCGCUGUUCUGACGGUACCCAAAGAAUAAGCACCGGCUAACUUCGUG
rnacentral:rRNA from 1 species